rnacentral:rRNA from 1 species
GGCUCAGGACGAACGCUGGCGGCGUGCUUAACACAUGCAAGUCGAACGAUGAAGCCUUUCGGGGUGGAUUAGUGGCGAACGGGUGAGUAACACGUGGGCAAUCUGCCCUUCACUCUGGGACAAGCCCUGGAAACGGGGUCUAAUACCGGAUAACACUCUGUCCCGCAUGGGACGGGGUUAAAAGCUCCGGCGGUGAAGGAUGAGCCCGCGGCCUAUCAGCUUGUUGGUGGGGUGAUGGCCUACCAAGGCGACGACGGGUAGCCGGCCUGAGAGGGCGACCGGCCACACUGGGACUGAGACACGGCCCAGACUCCUACGGGAGGCAGCAGUGGGGAAUAUUGCACAAUGGGCGAAAGCCUGAUGCAGCGACGCCGCGUGAGGGAUGACGGCCUUCGGGUUGUAAACCUCUUUCAGCAGGGAAGAAGCGAAAGUGACGGUACCUGCAGAAGAAGCGCCGGCUAACUACGUGCCAGCAGCCGCGGUAAUACGUAGGGCGCAAGCGUUGUCCGGAAUUAUUGGGCGUAAAGAGCUCGUAGGCGGCUUGUCACGUCGGAUGUGAAAGCCCGGGGCUUAACCCCGGGUCUGCAUUCGAUACGGGCUAGCUAGAGUGUGGUAGGGGAGAUCGGAAUUCCUGGUGUAGCGGUGAAAUGCGCAGAUAUCAGGAGGAACACCGGUGGCGAAGGCGGAUCUCUGGGCCAUUACUGACGCUGAGGAGCGAAAGCGUGGGGAGCGAACAGGAUUAGAUACCCUGGUAGUCCACGCCGUAAACGUUGGGAACUAGGUGUUGGCGACAUUCCACGUCGUCGGUGCCGCAGCUAACGCAUUAAGUCC